CCUACGGGAGGCAGCAGUGAGGAAUAUUGGUCAAUGGACGGAAGUCUGAACCAGCCAUGCCGCGUGCAGGAAGACGGCCCUAUGAGUUGUAAACUGCUUUUGUACAAGGGUAAACCUGAAUACGUGUAUUCAGCUGAAAGUACUGUACGAAUAAGGAUCGGCUAACUCCGUGCCAGCAGCCGCGGUAAUACGGAGGAUCCAAGCGUUAUCCGGAUUUAUUGGGUUUAAAGGGUGCGUAGGCGGAUUGAUAAGUUAGAGGUGAAAUGUCCGAGCUUAACUCGGGAACUGCCACUAAUACUGGUGGUCUAGAGAGUAGAUGCGGUAGGCGGAAUGUAUGGUGUAGCGGUGAAAUGCUUAGAGAUCAUACAGAACACCGAUUGCGAAGGCAGCUUACCAAUCUAUAUCUGACGUUGAGGCACGAAAGCGGGGGGAGCAAACAGGAUUAGAUACCCUAGUAGUC
rnacentral:rRNA from 1 species